rnacentral:lncRNA from 1 species
GCUGCCAGGAAACAGGCCGGGGGUGCCGCGGAGGGAACGCAGCAGACUGGCCUGCUCGCCAGCCUGGCACUGCUUCAGCGAGGGGGCCGCCCCUCGGACGGGGAGGACCUGGCAGAGGACAAUCCGGUGGGAGAUAUUGCUGUUGGGGAAAAUGGAAGUGCAACAGCGCCGCAGUGGCAGCCGCCUCAGGGGCAGAAAGGGGAUGGCCGGACGAAACUGAAUGAUGCCUUGGGUUACUGAAGAUCAUCUUAGAGGCAAUGGACGUGUGAUGAGCGUGUGAGUGGCGCCAUGGGAAUCCUUUGUAUUGCGGCACGGGGAGAGUAAGUACCUAGCCCACUCCGCAGCCAGGGGGAACGCAUGCAGAAUGCUUAUGGUUGCUUCUAAGGAUAGUCAAUUACUCAUUGAACAUCACUUGUUCACAGUCUGUAUGGUACCGGGAGACAUAGAUUGACAAAAACAACAGCUGACCAUACAAUCUGGGCUGACGUACAAGUUCAACAAGCCUGCAGAGGAAACCCCCAGAAUGAGCAAUAUUGAUACUGCAGGUGUCU